rnacentral:rRNA from 1 species
GAUGAACGCUGGCGGUCUGCUUAACACAUGCAAGUCGAACGGAAUCCCUCGGGAUUUAGUGGCGGACGGGUGAGUAACGCGUGAGAAUCUGCCUUCAGGUUCGGGACAACAGCUGGAAACGGCUGCUAAUACCGGAUGUGCCGAGAGGUGAAAGCUUUAGUGCCUGAAGAUGAGCUCGCGUCUGAUUAGCUAGUAGGAGUGGUAAUGGCGCCCCUAGGCGACGAUCAGUAGCUGGUCUGAGAGGAUGAACAGCCACACUGGGACUGAGACACGGCCCAGACUCCUACAGGAGGCAGCAGUGGGGAAUUUUCCGCAAUGGGCGCAAGCCUGACGGAGCAAGACCGCGUGAGGGAAGAAGGUCUGUGGAUUGUAAACCUCUUUUGAUGGGGAAGAAGACAGUGACGGUACCCAUCGAAUCAGCCUCGGCUAACUCCGUGCCAGCCGCCGCCGUAA